rnacentral:lncRNA from 1 species
CAUUUUUAUUUUCAAAACAUAUGCAAGGAUAAUUUUCAUCACUGACCUUUGCAAAAACCCUGUAUUCUAAUUUCCUCCCCUUCUCUCCACCCCCUUUCCUAGAUGGCAAGUAAUCCAAUAUAUAUUAGACAUGGUAAAAAUAUAUAUAAAUCCAAUAUAGGCAUCUGUAGUUAUACAAUGAUCUUGCUGCACAAGAAAAAUCUGAUCAAAAAGGAAGAAAAAUGAGAAAGAAAAUAAAAUUCAAGCAAACAACAACAAAAGAAAUGAAAAUGCUAUGUUGUGAACCACGCUCAGUUCCCACACUCUGGAUGUAGAUGGCUCUCUUCAUCACAAGAUCACUGGAACUGACCUGAAUCAUCUCCCAAUUUCAUUAUCUCUAUUCUAAUCAAGAUCACUAGAAUUCUUUUGAAGUAGAGAGGAAGCUGUAAACUGGAUAAUUUUGUAAACUUUUUGAGAUUGAAUAUAACUAGCAACUUUAAAGACUAUCCUACUUUUUCAGUUCCUUGCAUUCUUCCCCAAGGUAGGAUAUUGUACUUUAAACCAAGUGCAAUUUGUAUAUCUUUGUGUUUCUCAUAGUGUCCAUGAGUCUCUGUGUGGGAGCAAGCACAGUUAAGUGACUUGCCCAGGGUCACACAGCUGGUUACUAUCUGAGGCAGGAUUUGAACUCAGGUCCUCCUGACUCUGGGACCAGUGCUACUGCCCUUAGCACAAAUAUCAGAUUCUUCUAUAGUUCAUGGAAAUUUGGGUUUUUCUGGAAGACAUCUCUUCUUUGGCCAACCUUUCCAACAACUGGAGUUCCUUUUUUUAGGGCUUUAACACAUAGAACCAGGAGGGGCAAGGUGAUUCUCUCCUCACUGCCUCUGCCAAACCCUGGACCUCUCUACCAUAAUAAGCAUUCACUUGACAUUCAGUUCAUCCACUUAAAUGCAAUAAUAUUGCAUUACUUUAAUAUACCACAAUUUGUUUAGUCAUUUUGUUUAACUGGCAUUUACUUUGUUUUCAUUUUUUUGUUACCACAAAAAAAAGAGCUGUAAUAAAUAUUUUGGUGUAUAUGGGGGCCUUCCUUUUAUCGAUGAUCUCCUUAGAAUAUGUCUAGUAGAGCAACCUCUGGGUCAAAGGGCAUAGAUAUUUUAGUCACUUUAUUUGUGUAAUUCCAAAUUGCUUUCCAAAAUGGUUGCACUGAUUCAAAUAGCUUCACCAACGAUGAACUAGUCUAUCUAUUUU